UGCAAGUGCGCUGACUUCCAUUGG
rnacentral:piRNA from 1 species